GCUAGCUGUUCAGAGGUCAGGCGCUGGUCAGAACAUGAGGAAGGAGGAACACGGUGGCCAUAUCUGAAGUGAUCUAGUAAACAGGAGACAUUUCCUCCAGGAAGUCUGUAGUGGGUAAGACCCAGUUACUACCCUUGAGGAAAGGAAGGUGAUGGGAACUAGCAUCUAUUAUGCACUGUGUGCCAGACUUGAGUAAACACUUCCAAGUCCUGUUCCUUGACUCCUAUGAGGUUAGUAACUUUUAUCAUCGCCAUUUUAAAGGAAGGCUCAGAGGCACUCUGCAGUCACACAGCUGGAGGGGUGCAGUGAGACGCGGAGGCUCCAAGUCUCUUCUGGACUAGGCCUGGAUCUGCCACCUCUUCUUUCGGCUGUGGAUGGCCCUGGGAGACACGCCUGGCCUCAGAUGCCCCUUGACCCAACUGGAGGAAGGGUGGGGGGCCCAGCAGAAAAGCCUGCAGCCUCCCUGGGCACCGUUUCAAAGCUGAUGCUGCUCUCCCUGCUCUGGGUCUCAGCUCCUCCCCUCUUCUGCAUUGUUGACCAACAGCCUGGGUCUGACGCGGAAGCAGAAGAAUUCCCAUUCAACUGGGCCCCAGGGAUGGGGGGCCUCUCUGCCAGUAAGUGACACCCUCUGCUACUGAAAGGCCUCAUGUUCCUGCCCUGCCAAGCCUGGGGUGGCCACCACGUGACAGCACCAGGGACACGUGUCUUCUGGGACCGCUUGUGAGCUGGGUGGCUGGCAAGUUUGUUUCUCCAUGUCCCGCAGCAGGGGCAAGGGUGUGGGUGGUCAUAAUGCACCAGGGCUCUGGGCGGGCUGAGCAGAGUGCAGUUCCUGCUGCCAGCCCCGAUAUGGCACGGACAGCUGGAAAAACUGACCAUGUGGCUUGACUAUCUCAGAGGAUUGCUCCAUUUUUCCUCAGCAUAAUUUUUCCAUGAAUAAUCUUUAAAGCUCUUUAAGUGGCUGUUUCUUUAGCAGUUUUAUUGGAACAUAUGAGAACUGACAGUCUCUGUGGGGAACGAGAUAUCAUGUUGAAAAAAAAUCUGGUUUUCAUUACACUUCUUUCAAGAAAGCAACAGGCUGCCCAACAGACCUCUCAUUGAUUGGAAGAGAAAUGAGCCCAGAGCCUCCUAACAACAGCCUUGGAGUGGACAGGAUGAUGAACAGUGAUGCCAAAGACUCAGGAUCUGAAGGCAGACAGGCCUGGUCCACCACCUGUGUCUGCCAUUUGCAGGAUGAGUGACCUUGAGUAGGUCACCUCACACCUCUGAACCUGAAUUCUACAUCUGCAAAACAGGAAUGAUGACCCUGACUGACAGCCUCCCUGUGAGGAGUAAGCCAUACAGCAUCCCUCCCUCCUUCACGUGACAAACUUUUCCUGAGUCCUGACCUCGGGGGCAGGAGCUGGAGAUACUACACUGGAUUAGAAAGAUGAGUUUCCAGUCAAGUGUGGGAGAGAGAAGUAGCCAGGAUGUAGAACCUGACAAGGGAAGAGUUCAGGAACUUGCCCAGUUGAGCAGCCAGUGAACGGGACAGCCCUGAGCACGGUGCACGUGAGAACACAGAGGGGACCCCUGGAGGGCCUGAUGUCCAGAUUCCUAGGCCACGGGGAGCGCGGAGCAGCAGAUGCUGGGGGAGCCGCUGGUACUCGUGAGGAGCUGGGCCACAUCCAGGCAGGGUGUUGGCCAGAGGUUCUGGGGUGGCUCGUGAGUGACAGCAGUACUGGUAUGCUGGUGAGUGCCUCAGCAGGAGCUCCCUCUGUCCCCCUACCAACUCCCCGAUGUCUGGACGGCACCAGAGCCCGCCUGGGAGGCCACGAGCUAACACUCUCAAGAGGAAAACAGGGGGAUCAAACCAAUGACCCAAGGGCCUACAGCUAAGAACUGCUGGAGCCAGGCUCUGAACUGAGCUCUGCCUGACUCCAGAGGUGGUUUCUACCACCAGGCAAUACAACAGGGAGACACGCAGGUGUGUCAGAGAGCAGUCCUCACAGUGCGAGCACAGAAACCAGAGGCCAAGGCUGAAGAUUUUCCUGGACUCGCGGUGCUGCCCAGGAAUCUUCUGAGAAAACCUCCUAUUUGUUGGUGUGGAACUGCCUGUGAAGUCAUUCUGCAGGGGUGGAAAGUGGGGGCCAGCUCUCUGUGGGCAACAGGGACCAUCCCAGAGACAAAGGGCAGCCUCAGCCCACAGACCACUUCGGACUUGAAUCAAGGCCUCAAAGGGCGAGACCUGGGCCACUGUCAAUGUGAGGGCAGGGCUGAAGCCAGGGAUUUGGAAAAUUGGUGGAAAACACUCCUAUGAGCUGGGGCUUGCUCUGCUGUGGAAAACUGCCAGCAUCAGCACUUCUCCCAAGGCUGUGCCGAGUCAGCAGUCAGCCCACUCUGGAGCUGCCUCUGAGGACCAGGUGCCUACAGGACCCUGUAAGGAGCUUGAAGAGUUGUGGCUGACGGAGGGAUUUCUGUCCUGGGCUCUAGGAAUUCUAGACUGGGCCCUUCCUCAAGGAGCUUUCAGUCUGGCGGAGCAGACAGACAUGGGCAAAUAAGCCCACAACUAACUGUGCCAUCACUGCAGAAGGAAGUGCCACGGAGGAGCAUGAGGGCCAGUUGCAGGAAGGAGCCAGGGCCAGCAUGUGCCUGUAAAAGCCAGAUAGUAAAUAGUUCACGCUCUGCAGGCCACAGGGUCUUUGUCCCAAGCACUCAACUCUGCCACUGCUGCAUGAAAACAGCCACAGGCGAUAUGUCAACCAAAGAGGGGUGGUUGUGCCCAUAUGAAAACAGAGGGUGGAUCUGUCCCACAGUUUGCCACAGCCUGGCUGUUAGACGGCCUGACCUGAUUGGGGGUGGGGGUGAUAGUGGGGAGAAGGCUUCCCCGAGGCAGUGAUAUUUAGCUAAAAGCUGCAGGCUGAGGCAAUGAUGGAGGCAGAAUCACAAUAUGACAAUUAUGAUAAUCACAUCACCAUGAUCAAGUUCCACCUAACACGUGUGUUCUAUGUUGCGCACUGUGCUAAUAACAACACUACCCUGUGAAGGAGGAAGAUUUUAUGCCCACUUUACAGAUAGAGACACUGAGGCUUGGCAGUAUGCUGAGUAGUCUGUUCACACAAUUCAGCUGCAUUUUUUGC
rnacentral:lncRNA from 10 species